ACAUUAUACGUGAUUUUCCGGUCGUUGCUGGCAUGUUAAAAACCGUUAUGAUAGGUCUAGUCAAGGUCCGUUUGUUGUUCUUAUAGAAAAACUUGUCAUUGACUCAAAAGACUCUUGUGAUUCUGAGGAGAUUGGAGUCUUGAAAUUAGAAAAUCGGGGAAAAAUAGAUUUUAUAUCGCUUUGCCUACAUUUGAUUUGGCAAAUGAAUUAGUUAACUCUUUUGAAAGAAAAAAAGAACCUCUUUUUAAAGGGGAAACUUGGGUAGCUUUUGUGCCAGAUUAUAAGGUAACAAAAAAGGUCAUCUUAAAAGGCAUCGAUGAUAUGGAUUUUGGUUAUAAUAAUAUAAUGGAGCUCCUGAGUCCUCCUCCAGGAUGGAGAGAUAAUUGGGCACAACCUCUGAAUGUUUAUGCUUUGAGAAAGAAGGUUGCUGACCCCCCGGCUCAGGGAGGUGUCAAAUAUGUCGACACAAAUACCAUUGUGGCAGUCUUCCCUAAUAUAACAUUACCGAAUUAUUCUCUUUUAAUUGGGUUUGCAGAGGACGUCGGUCCCCGAUAACUUGCGCGAGAUGCACGGGCUCUGGACAUUCAGACGAUGAAUGUUCUUCUAAGAAAAUUAAAUGCAUCAAUUGUCUCCGAUUGAAACGGGAGGAUAAAGACUUGAUGCAUAAAGCAUCAGAUGUCAAAUGUCCCGUAUUCUUGGAACAAAAAUUAAAAAAAAUCAUGGCCACCUUUUGUCUCUCCCCUGGGGAGGCGGACAUGUUCCUGAGAGAUAAGGGACCUAUCCCUUUAGGGUUCCGGAAAACAAGUCUCAUCCUAGAGAGGAUUCUCUGUUGGCCACAAAGAAGGCUCGCAACCUCAUCACUAGUGGCCCUAUUUCCAAGGCAAAAAAUAGAGUC
rnacentral:misc_RNA from 1 species